UCAUCUUCUUUCCCAAAACACAAUCUCGGUUUUCUUCGAUUUCCAAACCCUCGACUUUUCAAAAUAUAUUUGACACAAACCUUUGCUGUUCUCAAGUCUGACAACUAUUCUAUUUAUGGAACAUGUUGAGAUGAAUUUUAUCUGUUACAAUUGUUUUCGGAGAAGCCCAAAUUUGGAAAUUCGAAGAUCAUUCAGAUGUAGUAGUCAAUCGAUAUCUUGAUCGGCGGAUUCAGUAUUGGGUUUUGGUUUAUUGGCCCGAUCCUUGUCAAUACAAUUAAUCUGUGUAUACAAAAUUGCGAUAAUCGAGAUGAAGAACAUAUACCAAAUAACCGUAAUGAUAUCACAUAUCAUGUAUUUCAGUGGAGCCAUUUAACAUUACAUAGAUCUAAAGUGUUUGGAAGAGACUACUUAUUGUGAUUCGCGCGGAAGUUUGGUAAGGUAUGAUAAUGAUAAAGGUAAGAUUGUGAUCGAGGGCGGUUAGGAGAAGUUGGAUGAUGUUCGAAUUGGAAAUAAUCGAAAGAAUGCUUUUAAUAGCCGGAUGAUCCAACUAUUACUUUACGGUUUUUUCUCGCCCGUAUCCGUUUACUUGAUUUCGGGUUAUUUUUUCAAAUUGAUCCGACCCAUAAUCGAUUUUGUACUUCUCUUUUACUUAUAUAGGGAUAAAAUCAAAGAUGUAUUUUGCCGUUUGUCACAUUACUUAAUUAAUACAAUUUUU